UACAACUCAUCGUAGUAUUUCCUGUCACAUCAUAUCAUUCUGACUCAAGCAUCAACACAUCCAUCACCCUCCUUAACACAAGCCACGCCACUUUACAGCUCGUGGUCGCAAAACAAAAAAAAACUUCGCACCUUUUCUCUCCCCGGGACUAGGAAAGCUUCAAGGGCUGGAGUGCAAUCCUCGUGUCGUAGACAUACCCAGCACAAAGAGUUCCCACAUUCAUCUGUGACAUAUAUUGGUCAGAGGAUGACGCAAAAAAAAACAAAAAUAGUACAGCAAUAAUUGCCCCGUAAUAGCAUUACAAAUAUAGUGCGGAUUGUUAUUGGCACCCGAGUUUGACUUGAGGUACAUACAUUAUCAUGACCUUUUUCCCUAUUGUCCCUGGUCAUAGCGACAUAAACGAUCUUCCAAUCGAGAGGUCACCCUAUCAAUAUUGACGAGGCAUUUCGGAAUCUACUUUGUCCGCCGCAACAAUAUCUA